UACGUAGGGUGCAAGCGUUAAUCGGAAUUACUGGGCGUAAAGCGUGCGCAGGCGGUGAUGUAAGACAGUUGUGAAAUCCCCGGGCUCAACCUGGGAACUGCAUCUGUGACUGCAUUGCUGGAGUGCGGCAGAGGGGGAUGGAAUUCCGCGUGUAGCAGUGAAAUGCGUAGAGAUGCGGAGGAACACCGAUGGCGAAGGCAGCCCCCUGGGCUGACACUGACGCUCAGGCACGAAAGCGUGGGGAGCAAACAGG
rnacentral:rRNA from 1 species